rnacentral:rRNA from 1 species
GCUUAACACAUGCAAGUCGAGCGAGAAUCGUUUAUUGAAGGCUUCGGCUGGAAAUAGAUGAGGAAAGCGGCGAACGGGUGAGUAACGCGUGGGCAACCUGGCCUUAAGAAAAGGAUAGCCCCCGGAAACGGGGAGUAAUACUUUAUGAGAAUGAAAGAGGGCAUCCUACUUUCAUUCAAAGCGCAAGCGCUUAAGGAUGGGCCCGCGUAUCAUUAGCUAGUUGGUGAGAUAACAGCCCACCAAGGCAACGAUGAUCAGCCGGUCUGAGAGGGCGAACGGCCACAGUGGAACUGAGAGACGGUCCAAACUCCUACGGGGGGCAGCAGUGGGGAAUAUUGCGCAAUGGAGAAGAACUCUGACGCAGCAAUACCGCGUGAGCGAAGAAGGUCUUCGGAUCGUAAAGCUCUGUUAUCAGGGAAGAAGAAAAUGACGGUACCUGAUGAGCAAGUCCCGGCUAACUACGUGCCAGCCGCCGCAGUAA